UCCCCCAUCCCCCAGGUUUUCCGGACUGGCUCCAGAUUCUACGUCAAAGAUCCUGGGGUCCCAGAAGGAGUUGCAGAGUGGAACCUCAGGUGCUGCUUGGAGUAGAGACCCUGACCUAGGAGUGCCGGUGCCAGCCUCCCUGGAGCAGCGUAGAGAGAAGUGCGGGUAGCGCUUAGGGGCUCAGGGUUGGGGGUGGGGGGUGAGAGAGGGCGGUUCCGAGAGGGAAUCCAUAUGGAUGGGCUCCCGGGAUACAAAGAGCAGCUGCCUGCUAGCUCCUGGUGUGCGGGCUCCGGGCUAAUUGAAUUAGGGCAAGCAGAGCAGGCUCCCACCCUGCGCGCCACCAGCUCCCCGCCCUCCCUCCCGGUUUCCCUUCCCUCCAGAGUCCAGAAGCUGAAUGAAGAAGGCAGCAGCCGCCUGCGUCCCACGCCCGCGGCAGCGCCCGGAGCCCUGCGGGGCGCCCUCCCCCUCCCAGCGCUCCCUCCGGAGUGGGCCCUUUGUCCCGCUGGCUGCUGGCCGAGUUAGGAGCCCAGCUAUCCCCAACUGGACAGCGACGCCAUGAUUAAUGGGUCAGCCAAGAAGUUGGCACAAGGAGGGGCCUGUGCAACCCCCCUCCUCCCUCCUCCGCCCUCAGCUGCUCGAGCUGUCAAGGGCCCUGGACCCUCCUCCGCCCAAUACUGGACCUGAAAAGACUAAGCAGCCUGUUAUCGAGUUGUGGCUUAAAGUACUAUGUUUUGGGACCUGGGGACCCAUCUGUGUCGGAGGGCAUUCUAGAAGCCCAAGGUUUGAGGUAUGGACAGCUCCCCAACCGCACAAACAGGGUACCCAUCAGCCGGAAGAGUUGGGCAGCUGGAGCCUCAGAGAUUCAGCAAGGGUCCUGUGGGAAUCUCUAAGAAGAGAUUUCUGUCUCAACUCCAAGAAUGACGCUGAAUCCCACAUUCCUGGAGGGGUAAUACCAGCCCAACUGAAAGAGAAAAUGGAAAGAGGAUCUGAGUAGAGGGAUGACCAUACCUGGAAGUGCAAGAGAUGUUUAAGCGUGGGACUUCGCUGGCUUUGAAGACGAGUCUAUCACAGCAUUUAACCGUUCUGAUCACUUUCUCUCAAAGGGGCUUAAAUAACUGGGCUUGCUAAACACAUUAGCUAAGACCAGUGAUCCUGGACAGCCGAGCACCUACUUACACACCCGGGGAUCAGGGUCGAGGUCUAAAAGGAGGGUAAAUGGAGGCGGUUGGCAUGGGCUGGUGAUGGGGGAGGGAGGAUGUCUAGGAAGCAGGCAGGCAGCCAGAUAUCUCCUCUAUGGGUUCGACUCACAUAGAGCGCAUUGAGAUCCAGGAAAGCACCAACAAGAGAGAUCCAAGAGACCCGGGGCGAGACAGCUCCCUACUCUCCUCUACUGGUCAGCAGCUAGGCUCAAGUAGGGGCCACCCAAGGGCUAGUGAAACUGUGGUUCGGCCUCCGCCCCUUUCCACUCUUCGUCUCUGCUCCUCCUUUCUUAGUUGCACCCGCAGUGGUUCCAGCAAGGGCAGCGCGGCCGGUGUGUUUUCUCCAGCUCAUAAAAUCUCUAACACAUUUUUUUUCCAGGACUUUUACUGCUCAGCGGAGAUGAGCAGUGACAUUCCUGUCUCCCCUUUCAUAAAUAUUACAUCUUCCCAAUGCAAUUACAGGAAACGGAGCAGCGGAGUGUUUACUAAAUAAGAUUAUGGAAUAAUGCUAAUGUAUUUCAUGUCGGUGUCUGACACCAGACAAACUCCCUAUUAAUAACCACUCAAUGAGGCGCGCAGGCUCUCACCGGGGGCCGCUGCAGGGGACCUCCGGCUUUCUGCGUGGGAAGUGGCCACUUCUUGGCUAUGCACUAUAGCGGAGCUGGAGGGGCCCGGAGCAGCCUUCAGCCUGGUCCUGUGAGCUCCUGGAAUGCCCUUACCAGAAGCUAGAGCAAAUUACCCCCUCGCCAGUCCUGCGGCUGAAGAUCAAGGGUCUCAUCCAUCCAUCCCUGGGGUCACUCGGCACAUUAUUUGGACUGAGAUAUGCCCACUCCUAUCCCCCUCCCACAUAGGAUCCAGGCCCAGGUUUUCGCCACUGUUACUUGUCUGUAGCCUGAUUUCUUUUAGCCGAAGGCCGAUUUCUCUUCCAUUUGGGAGUAGGGUGUGGGAAGCCGAAGGAGGACAGGGCCACAAAUCACCAAAAAAGAACUGAUAGCUAGGGUUCAAGGUCUACUGUGCCAGCCCCCUGGCCAAAGGUGAAAUAUUAUAGACUGAGGGGUCUUUUCCUGCCUUCAAAUAAAAAGAUGCUCCAUGCACA
rnacentral:lncRNA from 1 species